rnacentral:tRNA from 1 species
GCCGUAGCUCAGUGGCAGAGCACCUGUCUUGAACGCAGAAGGUUGCAGGGUCAAUCCCAGGCAUCUCCA